rnacentral:rRNA from 1 species
GAUGAACGCUGGCGGCGUGCCUAGUACAUGCAAGUCGAGCGAACAGACGAGGAGCUUGCUCCUCUGACGUUAGCGGCGGACGGGUGAGUAACACGUGGAUAACCUACCUAUAAGACUGGGAUAACUUCGGGAAACCGGAGCUAAUACCGGAUGAUAUAUUGAACCGCAUGGUUCAAUAGUGAAAGACGGUUUUGCUGUCACUUAUAGAUGGAUCCGCGCCGCAUUAGCUAGUUGGUAAGGUAACGGCUUACCAAGGCAACGAUGCGUAGCCGACCUGAGAGGGUGAUCCGCCACACUGGAACUGAGACACGGUCCAGACUCCUACGGGAGGCAGCAGUAGGGAAUCUUCCGCAAUGGGCGAAAGCCUGACGGAGCAACGCCGCGUGAGUGAUGAAGGUCUUCGGAUCGUAAAACUCUGUUAUUAGGGAAGAACAAAUGUGUAAGUAACUAUGCACGUCUUGACGGUACCUAAUCAGAAAGCCACGGCUAACUACGUG